rnacentral:rRNA from 2 species
UGGUAAUGCCGGAUGCUCCGACUCCUCGCAUGGGGUGUCGGGAAAGAUUUCAUCGGUAUGGGAUGGGGUCGCGUCCUAUCAGGUAGUCGGCGGGGUAACGGCCCACCGAGCCUACGACGGGUAGCCGGCCUGAGAGGGCGACCGGCCACAUUGGGACUGAGAUACGGCCCAGACUCCUACGGGAGGCAGCAGUGGGGAAUAUUGCACAAUGGGCGCAAGCCUGAUGCAGCGACGCCGCGUGCGGGAUGACGGCCUUCGGGUUGUAAACCGCUUUUGAUCGGGAGCAAGCCUUCGGGUGAGUGUACCUUUCGAAUAAGCACCGGCUAACUACGUGCCAGCAGCCGCGGUAAUACGUAGGGUGCAAGCGUUAUCCGGAAUUAUUGGGCGUAAAGGGCUCGUAGGCGGUUCGUCGCGUCCGGUGUGAAAGUCCAUCGCUUAACGGUGGAUCUGCGCCGGGUACGGGCGGGCUGGAGUGCGGUAGGGGAGACUGGAAUUCCCGGUGUAACGGUGGAAUGUGUAGAUAUCGG